rnacentral:lncRNA from 7 species
UUCUUAAGUUAGACAAGAGUAGACGCAGAAGUGUUUGUAUGAGGAUUGGCAGCACCAGAAGACAAAGGCUAUGUUUUUGCUUGAACUUUAAUGAAAUUUAUGGAGAAUCCUCCGCUUACUGUGUCAUACUAGUACUUGUAAUUGGUAACAAAGCAAAUGAGCAAAUGGAGCUAGGGGAAGAUGCACAAAUUGUACUGGUAAGCUUUGGACCUGCGCGUGAGGCACCUGGUGGUGAACAACCUCAUCUUUCAGAAUGGUCACCUGUGGCCCUGUGAGUUGCCUUUGGCCAGGACCGGAUAAUUCAUGAGGAGAGAGUGCCUCAUGCACAAGGCAUCUUCUCAUCACUGGCUGCUGCUAUACAACUGUAUCUUUAGCAACCCGAUAUAUCCAUGGAUCAAGUGUGUGAUUAUGAGGCAGAAGAGAUGAAGUCUGUCAGCAUGAUAAGGUUUUUGCACUGCACAAGACAUAUCCAUCAAUGCUUUCUGAACCACCAGGACUCACUGCAUGGAAAUGACUUUUCCAAAAGGAGUUAUUAUUUAGUAGGCAGGUAACAAAUGCUUUAAGUUUUCUGCCUUGCUCUCCUUUGUGCAAUUGCUUACAAGGAUGUAACUAAAGGAAGUCAGGAUCGCCACCAGUGCCAACUGUUCCAUGCUGUAACAGGUCUCAGCGAGACGUGGCCUCCUUAGAGACUGCGGGUCCUUCAUCAGACAUCCUGCAAGUGCUACCAGCUGACAGGCUGAGGUCACCUGAGGGCUGGAAGCAGUUUAACAUGAAAGCUUGAAGGGAAGGAAUAUCCUCAACUCAGAGCAGGACAGGAAAUCCUUUGCUAGCCAUUGGAAUAGCUGGCUGCUCUGGUGGUCAUACAUCUUGAAAGGCUGCCUUUAUCAUACCAGCCCUCAAAGCGCUUAACGAUGCCUUUAAUCCAGAAUAGUUGUACUGCCCUCUGUAAUACAUGAGUUCC